rnacentral:rRNA from 1 species
GAUGAACGCUAGCUACAGGCUUAACACAUGCAAGUCGAGGGGAAACGAUAUUGGAAGCUUGCUUCCGAUAGGCGUCGACCGGCGCACGGGUGAGUAACGCGUAUCCAACCUGCCCAUCACUUGGGGAUAACCUUGCGAAAGUAAGACUAAUACCCAAUGACGUCUCUAGAAGACAUCUGAAGGAGAUUAAAGAUUUAUCGGUGAUGGAUGGGGAUGCGUCUGAUUAGCUUGUUGGCGGGGUAACGGCCCACCAAGGCGACGAUCAGUAGGGGUUCUGAGAGGAAGGUCCCCCACAUUGGAACUGAGACACGGUCCAAACUCCUACGGGAGGCAGCAGUGAGGAAUAUUGGUCAAAUGGGGCGAGAGCCUGAACCAGCCAAGUAGCGUGCAGGAUGACGGCCCUAUGGGUUGUAAACUGCUUUUAUAAGGGAAUAAAGUGGGAGUCGUGACUCUUUUUGCAUGUACCUUAUGAAUAAGGACCGGCUAAUUCCG